rnacentral:lncRNA from 1 species
AAAAAAUAAUGAAUUCUAAUGAUCAGAAAGUUUUUUAUGUAACCCCUUCACUAAGUGUGUUUAAGGGACAUACUUAAAAUAAAACAUUGAUCUAAUGAAGAGAUAUAUUUACUAAUUAAGUGUUCUAAAUGGGCAAAUACAACCCAUUGAUCACCUUAAUUAAAUGCUAGAAAUAUUUAAUUGUUUUUGAAAUUGCUACAUGAGCUUUAUACAAUAAUAUAAAUUGAUCAAGUCAAGCCAUAUGAUAUUUACGAAGAGAGAAAAAAUGGGUAAAUCUCUCAAGUUAAUUUCCACAAUAAUUUUAUUUAUUUUCCUGUUUUUUACUACAAAGGAGGUUGCUAGUAAUCCAAGCAUUUUCAAAACAUCUAUCCAAUGUAAAACUGUUAAAGAGUGUCCUGAUGUAGUUGAAGCCGACAACAAGUACGUUGCUUAUAUAUGCAUGAAUGGUUACUGUCAUAGAAUGACUUACAGACCAUAGAAGUGAGUUCUCCAAGGUGCAACCAACAAUCAUCAUAUUUUUAAUUUUUUGUUUCUUA